rnacentral:rRNA from 1 species
GCCAGCCCGCUCAGAACUUAAAGGAAGUUGACGGGGCCCGCACAAGCGGUGGAGUAUGUGGUUUAAUUCGAUGCAACGCGAAGAACCUUACCUGGCCUUGACAUCCCGGAGACCCUUAGGAAACUAGGGGUGCUUCCAUCUGGAAGAAUCUGGAGACAGGUGCUGCAUGGCUGUCGUCAGCUCGUGUCGUGAGAUGUUGGGUUAAGUCCCGCAACGAGCGCAACCCUUGCCUUUAGUUGCCAGCAGUUCGGCUGGGCACUCUAAAGGGACUGCCGGUGUUAAACCGGAGGAAGGUGGGGAUGACGUCAAGUCCUCAUGGCCUUUAUGACCAGGGCUACACACGUACUACAAUGGCCGAUACAAAGGGCAGCGACACUGCGAGGUGAAGCCAAUCCCGUAAAAUCGGUCUCAGUCCGGAUUGGAGUCUGCAACUCGACUCCAUGAAGUUGGAAUCGCUAGUAAUCGUGGAUCAGCAUGCCACGGUGAAUACGUUCCCGGGCCUU